CCCCUAGUAACUGCGAGUGAAGCGGGAAAAGCUCAAAUUUAAAAUCUGAUAGUCUUUGGCUGUCCGAGUUGUAGUCUGGAGAAGCGUUUUCCGCGCUGGACCGUGUACAAGUCUCCUGGAACGGAGCGUCAUAGAGGGUGAGAAUCCCGUCUUUGACACGGACUACCAGUGCUUUGUGAUGCGCUCUCAAAGAGUCGAGUUGUUUGGGAAUGCAGCUCAAAAUGGGUGGUAAACUCCAUCUAAAGCUAAAUAUUGGCGAGAGACCGAUAGCGAACAAGUACCGUGAGGGAAAGAUGAAAAGCACUUUGGAAAGAGAGUUAAACAGUACGUGAAAUUGCUGAAAGGGAAACGCUUGAAGUCAGUCGCGUUUGCUAGGACUCAGCCUUGCCUCGGCUUGGUGCAUUUCCUAGUAGACGGGCCAGCAUCACUUUUGGCUGCGGGAAAAAGAUCAGAGGAAUGUGGCACCUUCGGGUGUGUUAUAGCCUCUGGUUGUAUACCGUGGCUGGGAGUGAGGAUCUCAGCACGCCUUUAUGGCGGGGCUUCGGCCACCUUCGUGCUUAGGAUGCUGGCGUAAUGGCUUUAAACGACCCGUCUUGAAACACGGACCAAGGAGUCUAACAUGCCUGCGAGUGUUUGGGUGGAAAACCCGAGCGCGUAAUGAAAGUGAAAGUUGGGACCUCUGUCGUGGAGGGCACCGACGCCCGGACCAGACCUUCUGUGACGGAUCCGCGGUAGAGCAUGUAUGUUGGGACCCGAAAGAUGGUGAACUAUGCCUGAAUAGGGUGAAGCCAGAGGAAACUCUGGUGGAGGCUCGUAGCGAUUCUGACGUGCAAAUCGAUCGUCAAAUUUGGGUAUAGGGGCGAAAGACUAAUCGAACCAUCUAGUAGCUGGUUCCUGCCGA
rnacentral:rRNA from 1 species